rnacentral:rRNA from 2 species
UGGGGAAUAUUGGACAAUGGGCGCAAGCCUGAUCCAGCCAUGCCGCGUGAGUGAUGAAGGCCCUAGGGUUGUAAAGCUCUUUCACCGGUGAAGAUAAUGACGGUAACCGGAGAAGAAGCCCCGGCUAACUUCGUGCCAGCAGCCGCGGUAAUACGAAGGGGGCUAGCGUUAUUCGGAUUUACUGGGCGUAAAGCGCACGUAGGCGGACUUUUAAGUCAGGGGUGAAAUCCCGGGGCUCAACCCCGGAACUGCCUUUGAUACUGGAAGUCUUGAGUAUGGUAGAGGUGAGUGGAAUUCCGAGUGUAGAGGUGAAAUUCGUAGAUAUUCGGAGGAACACCAGUGGCGAAGGCGGCUCACUGGACCAUUACUGACGCUGAGGUGCGAAAGCGUGGGGAGCAAACAGG